CUGGAACACUUACCCUCUGUAUUUCAGCAGCACCAAAGGGUGCGUUGUGGAGGAUCAGAAUCACUCCUGGAGACCUGAGAGCUGUGACCAGAGAUUGCCCUUCUUCUGCUACAAAAUGGCGAAGUACACUAUAAUGAAGGUGUCUUUCCACUCUGAUCUGAACAUGUCUGACCCAAAGAACUACAGACUGCUCACACAAAAGUUGGAAGAGAGGAUCAACCGAACACGAGUCAAAGUGACAUGGAAGAC